GGAGAGGUGGCCGAGCGGCUGAAGGCGCCCGCCUGCUAAGCGGGUAUACUGUGUUAAGCAGUAUCGAGGGUUCGAAUCCCUCUCUCUCCAC
rnacentral:tRNA from 1 species